UGGGGAAUCUUGCGCAAUGCGCGAAAGCGUGACGCAGCAACGCCGCGUGGGGGAAGACGGCCUUCGGGUUGUAAACCCCUUUCAGGAGGGACGAAGCCACUCGGGUGAAUAGCCCAGAGGGUGACGGUACCUCCAGAAGAAGCCCCGGCUAACUACGUGCCAGCAGCCGCGGUAAUACGUAGGGGGCGAGCGUUGUCCGGAUUUAUUGGGCGUAAAGAGCGUGUAGGCGGCUUGGUAGGUCUGCUGUGAAAACUCGGGGCUCAACCCCGAGACGUCGGUGGAAACCACCUGGCUAGAGUCCGGAAGAGGAGAGUGGAAUUCCUGGUGUAGCGGUGAAAUGCGCAGAUAUCAGGAAGAAUAUCCGUUGGCGAAGGCGGCUCUCUGGUACGGCACUGACGCUGAGACGCGAAAGCGUGGGGAGCGAACA
rnacentral:rRNA from 1 species